CGCCGAUCACGAGUUCAAAUCAAACCAACACAACUGUCGCCCCCUCGGCCCCUCCCACCCCAACCCCUCCCCGGCCCCCCUCAACCAGUGCAGCGCCUCGCCAUCGCCACAAGCCAUGUCGGAGAUUGAAUUGGUGCAGUGCUCGCGUGCCGGCAAGGAAGCGUUGCAGGAGCCAGAGUCGGAGCCGCAGCGCAAGUGGCUGCCAGAGUCGGAGCCGCAGCGCAAGUGGGUGGCCCUCGUCUCCGAUGCCGUCCUCCUCGGCAACGAGGACGAUCGGGCCCAGGAGAUCGUCCACGGCACCGACAUGCUGCUCGAGCUCAAAGACCCGCCGCUACCCUCGUACCUGUUGCUGCACCCCCGCGUCUCCACCAACACCAGGCGUACGUCCUCGCCGCUGUCCGCCUACGUCCUCGCCGCCAAUAACCGCUCCGCCUGCAUCCUCCUCCAGAUCGUCGAAGGCAAUCGCCCGGACAUCUUCCUCUGCGACACGCACCGUUGUACCGUAACCAUCCUGCCCCCGCUGCCCUCCUAUCUUUGGAGUAGGCCGGGCAUCUACAUCCGCCCCCACCUCAGCAUCGGCCUCAUCGCCGACCCGUACCACCGCGGCCACUACGUGGUAGCCCAGCUUCAACCCACCACCUCCUUCCACAACCCCAACAGGCUCCUCUGCUACUCCACCGCCAAACACCAGUGGUUCGCCUUGCAAAUCACCCGGCAAACGGCCCACUUGUACAACCCCUUAUCCGAGAAUGGCGUGCUCGCCCACGACGGCCGCCUCUGGUGGGUCGCCCUCGCCCAUGGCAUAUUCUUCUGUGACCCCUUCACGCCCGUCCUCCAAGAGCUGCGCCUGCGCUACCUCCGGCUUCCAGCCGACUGCCACGGCUACGUCGCCUUGGAGCCCCGCAUCAGGACCCUCAUCCACCAGCGGCGCUGUGUCAGGCCCAGCGAGGGCCAGCUGCGAUUCGUCGAGAUCCACGGGCUCGCCUACGACGACGUGCUCGUCGACGCACCGGCUAACCCCACCGUCAGGAUGUGGACGCUCGAAGACCCGGAGCGCCCGGACCCCUGGACAUAAGAGUACG